rnacentral:rRNA from 1 species
UGGGGAAUAUUGCACAAUGGGCGCAAGCCUGAUGCAGCCAUGCCGCGUGUAUGAAGAAGGCCUUCGGGUUGUAAAGUACUUUCAGCGGGGAGGAAGGGAGUAAAGUUAAUACCUUUGCUCAUUGACGUUACCCGCAGAAGAAGCACCGGCUAACUCCGUGCCAGCAGCCGCGGUAAUACGGAGGGUGCAAGCGUUAAUCGGAAUUACUGGGCGUAAAGCGCACGCAGGCGGUUUGUUAAGUCAGAUGUGAAAUCCCCGGGCUCAACCUGGGAACUGCAUCUGAUACUGGCAAGCUUGAGUCUCGUAGAGGGGGGUAGAAUUCCAGGUGUAGCGGUGAAAUGCGUGAGAUCUGGAGGAAUACCGGUGGCGAAGGCGGCCCCCUGGACGAAGACUGACGCUCAGGUGCGAAAGCGUGGGGAGCAAACAGG